GGAGAGGUGGCAGAGCGGUUGAUUGUACCUGACUCGAAAUCAGGCGUACGUUUAUAGCGUACCGGGGGUUCGAAUCCCCCCCUCUCCGCCA
rnacentral:tRNA from 5 species